UCCUGUGCAGAGCCUGCCUGCAUCUGAUGUGUUUAUCUCCUGUCCAGCCUCCUUCUUUGGGCUCCUUUAGCUGUUCAUACCCUGCUGACUUAGACCCCAUGUGCCCAGGCUCCCACGAGCUACAGUUCCAUAAAGGAAACUCUGGAAACACCACCUUCUGCUUUCUGAGUGAAGUGCCCUCCACAGAGACUAAGGAGCUGGGCCACCCACUAUUCCUGCUUAGAGAUUAUUUUGCUUUUCAAGGAUGGAUUUUAUUUGUAAGAAAACUUACAUAAUGACAGCCACUGAUAAGGAAGAUGGUGCUGGAGAGCAGAUUCAUCUGCUUUUUCCAGGGCUGGGAAUAGCAAGGAUGCAUUAGCCACUGAACAGCCUGCUCCAGUGCCUACCCAGCAUCAGGAGGGCCUACUGUGCCUUUUGUGUGAGUAUCUUUCAACUCCAAAACAUUAAUUCUGUGUGAACCAGAAAAUUCACGUGGUGCCCUUUGCCUCAGGGUCACUUGUUAGAACAUGUUCUUUCUGUCCUUAGAAAGAAAAACUCAUGUUUUUCAGAUAUUGCAAAUGUAAUUGUGCUGAUACUUGUACUUGGAGAGUUUCAUUUCCUUGAAGUCCUUCUCUUUUCCCUGUCCUUGGAAAAACAGAAAUGCAAUUAGGAACUUGAAUUGCUGUCCAUUGGCUAUUUAUGGAAAGUUGGCACAUUCCUCACAUGAUCUCUAUUUUUGCCCUUGAAAAGAACUAAUGCACUCUUUCACCUUGCAUGUAGUCUAGAAUGAGCCCCUACCUCUUGUUUGCACUCUUUCAGAGAAGUUACCUUUUUUCCUAAGAGAAGCUUAAAAACUAAAACCAAACCAGACUAACUUGAAGGGAAGGUCAAUAUUUAAUGAGUUAUAAAUAUAUGCAUAAUAUUAGUUUCAAGUAACUUGAUUCUAGGAUAAGAGGGAAUUCUCAAAUGAAAUUUUGAUUAAAAAUUGGUUUUGUGGAAAUGGUAUUUUGAGCCAAAAGUCAUUUUUACAUGGUGCAGACAUUGCCAAAGAAGUAGGGAUGGCUGGCAGCAACUGUGGAAUGGCUGUGAAUUGCCAAGAGGCUGUGAGCAAGAAGAUGUCGCAAAGAUGUUUGGACACUUUGAGAGGUUAAGAUGGCUUCACUUCUGUAAUGGAUUUACACCCAACUGCCCAUUUGAGCCCUUGUGUCUGUACUUCUUGCAGGAAGCUCUUUGCCUCCCUAGGACAGCAGACUCUUAAUUCUUCAGCAAGAUGAAUUUCUUUCCAGGCCAAGAGAUGUGUUUAAGGAAGAGAAAUAAAAGUGGAGUCUCUAAGGAGUCCAGUUUAAAAAGUGUGCUUUCCUCUUUGGUCUUCAAUUGCCUUAGACAUCUCUGCCUGCCUUCAGACUGACUUGUUUUUUCAGACUAAAAGACUUGCUGGAGUCAAAUCCAAGGGGAAUAACAAAUAUUCCAUUAACCCCAUUGUAUAGUCCAGUUGUCCCACGUGUCACUCCUCAGUGGCUCUGAGGGCUGAUUUCCAUAGUAAGGGACAGAAAAACUUGAACAGUAAAAUUCUUUCUAGCAACUAGAGCCUAGUGGAAGUCAUCAUUCCCCUAUUCUCUUUCACUGGUGGAUGGAGUGAAUUUGCAUGCUCUGCAUUUUUUUCCCUUUUUUUCCUCUUUCACAAUAGGUUUUGGGGCAGGAUGGCUGCGUGGUGUUGCUGAGGGCAGGAGAGCUGCUUCCCUGCCCAGCCCUAUGAAAUGCAUGUUGUCCCAUGAAGAAAGCCAGCUCUGGGGAGCUGGAGGAAGGAAAUACUUUUCCUGUUUUGUGUUGGCCCCAGACACUCUAAAGCUACUUUUGUGAUUAAUUUAGCCAAGUACAGUUUGAGAGAUGUAUACGUUGUUAGUCUCUGAAUGUCUUUUGUCUUUAGAAUUCAAACACGGUAUGAAAUCCUUGGUACAGGUUCAUUUUUUAAAUUAAAAAAUCCAUAUUUUUUUCUUAGUCAUACAGUUACCACACAUCACAAAUGGAAGGUAAAAACACUUAUUAAAAGGCCCACUUCAUGCUUUCUCUCUCUUAUUUUACAGUGGGUUUUUUUCCAAAAAGUAGAUUUUAUCCUAGACAAAAGUUGCUUUUAUAGACGGCUUCCUCAAGAUGAGGCCACACAUCACAAGAUGUGCUUUGUAGGAAGUAAAUGAUUGAGGAUUGUCUGUGUUUCUUGUUGUUGUCCUUUCUGUGGCUCCCGAGGCCUUUGUGGGAAAAUAUUCCACUGAAAUAACAGAACCAUCCCUCACUUUAUCCACUGUGUGGAUUAAUUCUUUAGCAGAAUAAUUAAAUAAGUGAGGUAAGAAAACUUAAUGGAAAAACUGAAGAAAAAUCCAUGUUCAAAUGAGACAGGAGAGCACCAAAAUGAAGACUGCACAUUACUCAAUAGUUGUUUUGUUUUUUUGUGGUUAGUCAAACUGUCUUUUCCCUGUGCAAGUGAGGAUUGCUAAGCAUGAAAGAUCCCCUUUUCUAAGCAAUCCAAGCCACAGCUCAUGUGCUGUGUCAGCUUUCUCACCACUUUAGGUACUGUGAGCAGCAGAGAACUGCUGUGACUGGUUCAAUGACCAUGAGUAUGGUUAAGGGAUAAAAAUGACCCUCGAAUCAUAUGAUUUUGAUCUGGAGAAUAUGUUCUCAGAAUUAAGGCAAAGUUUGGCAUGUUUUUCAGCUUUCAUUUACUAAAAGGCAAGGUACUUCACAUGGCAAAAUAUGAAUUUAAAAGCCAUGUGUGAGAAAUUAAAAACUAGAAGAGAUUAAAUGAAACUGCUUUGGCAUACUGUCCACAGCAACAUUAUUGUCCCAUGCAAGAUCAGCAUUCUCAGUAGUAAUGGAUCAUGAUUUUAGCUUCAGUCUUUGGGACAUAUGGCCUCAAAACUGUCUCAUUUCGUAUGAUAAUUUGAAUCCAGCACUAUUUGUCUACUAUGUAAGUUUGUGAUUAUAAAUUGGGAUUGUUUUAGUUUCUCCAGAAGUGAAAGCAAACCCUGUGUGUUUAAACACCACCAGUGUGCUUGGAGGCAUUGCUGCUCCUUCAAGCACUGGUGCCUCCAGCUGGAUAAGUAGUGAGAGACUUUUGUAACCCAGUACAAUAUUUUCCUUUAUGUACAUACAGAACAGCUUUUUUUUUCUCAUAUUUUUUAAAAGGCUGUAGGUUUAAAAGCUUUUCAACCAUAUGAUACACAGAACAAGUUUCUCAACAGGAUCCUUAAUUCUCCAGCAGACAAUCCUUAAAUUGUGUGGUUAUGCAGAUAGUUAUCCAAAUAAUCCUCGCGAACAAGUCUUCAGUAAGUCCCUGACACAGGCUAAGGCUUUUCAAGGAUUUGUUUUUUUUCCCAAUUGUUUGUAAUUUAUGAUUCAUAAAUUCCUUGACCACUGAAAUAUUGCAGUGACAUCUUGUGCCAGCUUCCCUAAGGAUGCAGAAAGUUUAUAUCAAACUACACAUCAGUUCAGUGCCAC